UUGAGGAUAAUACCCGAUAGUCUUGCGCAUCUUUGUAGGGAUGAGAAUGGAUGUUACGAAAUAACAUCCUAAUAAAUCGCAUCUCAACAAAGAAGCGUAAGUAAAGUUCCGGCGGUAUGGGAGGGGCCUAUGUCCUAUUAGCUUGUUGGUAAGGUAAUGGCUUACCAAGGCGAUGAUAGGUAGCGGGUGUGAGAGCAUGGCCCGCCUCACCGGGAUUGAGAUACUGCCCGG
rnacentral:rRNA from 1 species